rnacentral:rRNA from 1 species
GCCUCCAAACCUACCGGUAAGACCGGCCCGAAGAACUGAAUGAGCUUAGAAUUAAUCUUGAAGAGGNAACCGGAAUUUCCCCGGUGUAGCCGGUGGAAAAUGGCGUAGGAUACUCCGGGAGGAACAACCCACGUGGCGAAGCGGGCUUCACUUGGGCCACCAAGACUGGACGCUCAUGUGGCGAAAAGCUAGGGUAGCGAAACGGGAUUUAGAUACCCCGGUAGUCCUAGCCGUAAACGAUGGAUACAUGGGUGUGGGUGCACAGCAGGGCAUCUGUGCCGGAGCGAACAGCGUUAAGUAUCCCGCCUGGGGACUACAGGUCGCAAGACAUGAAACUCAAAGGAAUUGACGGGGGCCCGCACAAGCGGUGGAGCACGUGGUUUAAUUCGAUGCAAACCGAAGAACCUUACCUGGGUUUGACAUGACGGUGUUAGGCGCGAGAGAUUGCGCCGACCGCGCAGAGAUGCGCGGAGCCGCACACAGGUGCUGCAUGGCUGUCGUCAGCUCGUGUCGUGAGAUGUUGGGUCAAGUCCAAAACCAGCGGCCCUAAUCNAAUC